rnacentral:tRNA from 1 species
GUCUAGCCUAGCGGCUAGUGCCACAUAUUUCUACUCUGUAGACCAGGGUUUGAAUCCCUGGCUACA